UCCCGGAUGUUAGCGGCGGACGGGUGAGUAACACGUGGGUAACCUGCCUGUAAGACUGGGAUAACUCCGGGAAACCGGAGCUAAUACCGGAUAGUUCCUUGAACCGCAUGGUUCAAGGAUGAAAGACGGUUUCGGCUGUCACUUACAGAUGGACCCGCGGCGCAUUAGCUAGUUGGUGGGGUAAUGGCUCACCAAGGCGACGAUGCGUAGCCGACCUGAGAGGGUGAUCGGCCACACUGGGACUGAGACACGGCCCAGACUCCUACGGGAGGCAGCAGUAGGGAAUCUUCCGCAAUGGACGAAAGUCUGACGGAGCAACGCCGCGUGAGUGAUGAAGGUUUUCGGAUCGUAAAGCUCUGUUGUUAGGGAAGAACAAGUGCGAGAGUAACUGCUCGCACCUUGACGGUACCUAACCAGAAAGCCACGGCUAACUACGUGCCAGCAGCCGCGGUAAUACGUAGGUGGCAAGCGUUGUCCGGAAUUAUUGGGCGUAAAGGGCUCGCAGGCGGUUUCUUAAGUCUGAUGUGAAAGCCCCCGGCUCAACCGGGGAGGGUCAUUGGAAACUGGGAAACUUGAGUGCAGAAGAGGAGAGUGGAAUUCCACGUGUAGCGGUGAAAUGCGUAGAGAUGUGGAGGAACACCAGUGGCGAAGGCGACUCUCUGGUCUGUAACUGACGCUGAGGAGCGAAAGCGUGGGGAGCGAACAGGAUUAGAUACCCUGGUAGUCCACGCCGUAAACGAUGAGUGCUAAGUGUUAGGGGGUUUCCGCCCCUUAGUGCUGCAGCUAACGCAUUAAGCACUCCGCCUGGGGAGUACGGUCGCAAGACUGAAACUCAAAGGAAUUGACGGGGGCCCGCACAAGCGGUGGAGCAUGUGGUUUAAUUCGAAGCAACGCGAAGAACCUUACCAGGUCUUGACAUCCUCUGACAACCCUAGAGAUAGGGCUUUCCCUUCGGGGACAGAGUGACAGGUGGUGCAUGGUUGUCGUCAGCUCGUGUCGUGAGAUGUUGGGUUAAGUCCCGCAACGAGCGCAACCCUUGAUCUUAGUUGCCAGCAUUCAGUUGGGCACUCUAAGGUGACUGCCGGUGACAAACCGGAGGAAGGUGGGGAUGACGUCAAAUCAUCAUGCCCCUUAUGACCUGGGCUACACACGUGCUACAAUGGACAGAACAAAGGGCUGCGAGACCGCAAGGUUAAGCCAAUCCCAUAAAUCUGUUCUCAGUUCGGAUCGCAGUCUGCAACUCGACUGCGUGAAGCUGGAA
rnacentral:rRNA from 1 species